rnacentral:rRNA from 1 species
GGACUACACGGGUUUCUAAUCCCGUUCGCUCCCCUAGCUUUCGCACCUGAGCGUCAGGUUCCAGCCAGGACACUGCCUUCGCCUUUGGUAUUCCUCCGGAUAUCUACGCAUUUCACCACUACACCCGGAAUUCUGUGUCCCUCUCUGGUCCUCAAGUCUUGCCGUCUUCGGAACGCUCCUCCAGUGAAGCCGGAGGCUGUCACUCCAAACGCGCAAAACCGCCUGCGUGCGCUUUACGCCCAAUAAAUCCGGACAACGCUCGCCCCCUACGUAUUACCGCGGCUGCUGGCAC